UACGGGGGGGGUAAGCGUUGUUCGGAAUUACUGGGCGUAAAGGGCUCGUAGGCGGCCAACUAAGUCGGACGUGAAAUCCCUCAGCUUAACUGGGGAACUGCGUCCGAUACUGGAUGGCUUGGAUUUGGGAGAGGGAUGCGGAAUUCCAGGUGUAGCGGUGAAAUGCGUAGAUAUCUGGAGGAACACCGGUGGCGAAGGCGGCAUCCUGGACCAACAUUGACGCUGAGGAACGAAAGCUAGGGGAGCAAACGGG
rnacentral:rRNA from 1 species